ACUACAUGUGGAAGAACACCAGCAGGAUUGGGAGUGACCUUCCCUUGAUGGCAGUGAUAGUUCCACAAGGACAUACUUACAUCAGUGCUGAACACUGAGUUCAUCACACCACGAAGUGUGCUGAAUCACAAGUUCACAGAGACCUUUCCAGUUCUAUUCCUUUUCCACUGUUGUCCUAAACUAUAAAGUACAGUUGGGAAAAGCAUUUUUCAAGAACCAAAUUUACAUAUUAAAUGAAAUAACCAAAAACAAGUUCAAUGUCUAGUGGCUCUAUAGAAACUAUACUAGAAAUGUUAGUUACAUAAUUUUUC
rnacentral:lncRNA from 1 species